AAUAUUGGACAUUGGGGGCAACCCUGAUCCAGCCAUGCCGCUUGUGUGAAGAAGGUCUUCGGUUUGUAAAGCACUUUAAGUUGGGAGGAAGGGCUUUAGGCUAAUACCCUGAAGUUUUGUCGUUACCAACAGAAUAAGCACCGGAUAACUCUGUGUCAGCAGCCGCGGUAAUACAGAGGGUGCAAGCGUGAAUCGGAAGUACUGUGCGUAAAGCGCGCGUAGGUGGUUCAGUAAGAUGGGUGUGAAAUCCCCGGGCUUAACCUGGGAACUGCUUUCAUAACUGCUGAGCUAGAGUACGGUAGAGGGUAGUGGAAUUUCCUGUGUAGCGGUGAAAUGCGUAGAUAUAGGAAGGAACACCAGUGGCGAAGGCGACUACCUGGACUGAUACUGACACUGAGGUGCGAAAGCGUGGGGAGCAAAC
rnacentral:rRNA from 1 species